UUUUAAUGAAGCAGUGAAGAAAAUAAGAUGCAAAUCCCAAUCAGAUGAGGCCUUGUUGCAUAGUGUAUCAGAAAACAGCUGAGAACUCAAACAGCAGCUGCUUUUUCUUUUUCAGGAAACUUUCUAUAAUAAUACCAAUAAAACCCAAGACUAUUAUUCUGAACAGAAACAAGAAAUACAGCUGGAGCCAUUUCCUAUCCACCUGAUGAAGGGCACUACCAGGCACUCACUCUGGCUCUGUCCACCGAUGCCUGUGCCCACUUUGUGUGACGUAGCUUCCAUGGAGACAAGAGCAAUGGUAAUGGAAGAAGAAAGUCUGGAUGUACUCGUGCAGAAAGAGAAAGCUUCAUGGAACAAUAUUAAUCUUCUGGUCAUCUCUGCGCCCAUAAAGUUGUCAGAUUGACUUUGGAUUUAAAGCCUGAAAAUGAGUCCCAAGGAAGUCCAUUGACAUGAGGCCCAAGGAAGACAGUUUUUGGAAGGGGCAAGACAGGAAGGAUGGUUUGGUCACUGUGAGGAAGAGGAGGGUAGAAAAGCCUCAGGACAUCAGAAUCUUUAGGAAGUGGCUACUGACAAUCAAGCAGAGUUUUCUCCCUGUGGGUCUCUAUCCAUUUAGUGGCUUUUUGUGCUAAGCAGCUCAGUGACUGCCUUCUGCUCCAGAUGUGACCUUCAGUCUCUGUUGCUCCUUUCUGCUGGCAAUGCUCAGUGUAAUUUCAGCCACAAAGGAAAGGAGGUGAAGUGAACAUCAGUGGGAGCCUAAAAAGUUAAACAACGGAUGUGUUUUCCCAGUGUAGAGAAAAGCUUGCUUCUCCAUCCCCAGGACUUUGUGCCCUGCUCACCUGGAAGAGAGAAGAGUGUAGAUAAUAUAAAAACUUCAUAUAUUUUUGAAGUGUUCUUUCUUCCCCUCCUGAUUGAAUCUUCCAGAACCUUUGCUCUUUUAAUUGUGAACUGUGUGACUGAUCUUGGACAAGUUACCUAA
rnacentral:lncRNA from 1 species